ensembl:processed_transcript
AACCGAAACCCCCUUUGCGAGAUUCGCUGCAUCUAUACCUGAUUUGCGUUCAAAAAUGCCUGCUUAAUUAUUUCAUAGUAGGAGCAAACAUGCCUUAAGAAAAGGAGUAGGUUUGAAACUUUAGUAACCAUAAAAAGUCCGCCAGGUGGAUGCCUUUCUACUCCAGGAAGCCGCAGCCUACGGCCUGAAGGAGGAAGAGGACGCGGUCAGUUUGAAAUAGCUGAAUCGAUGACAUCCUGAUAGCAGCAAUACAAUUAAGAAGCCCAUGUUUUGCUGUAUCUCCACACAGCUGGGCCAGUUCUUCAGAUGAUCAGAGGGACUUCGCCAUCAUCACAUCCCUCAUUGCUGCAGUCAGACUGAAACAGGACGGUGAUGCAUGGCAGUCCAUGCCCGAGAUACGGAUGAUGAAGAGACCACAGCAACAUCUGGUCCAGAUGAGGACACAAGGGCAUGUGGACUGAUGCAGGGUCUCGUUCAGUUCACUACAGGAGAACAGGAGUGGCUAAACUCAGUCUAGAACUGCUGCUGUCUUGCAGAGUUUAGUUGAAGUUGACUCUAAACUCUGCAGGACACCAGCUGUCCACAACUGACUUUGGGCACCCCUGCAUUACAGCAUUUCCAAGAUGCUGCUGCAUGUGGACUUCUUUACCCUCACCACACACACCAAUCUGCAGAUAUUUCAGAUCAAACAAAACAUAAAAAACAUUCAAAAAACAAUGUCAUUUUACUGUACAAUGUGUCAUUUGAUUUCUGUAGUGCUAGUAAUAAAAUUAUCCUACCU